rnacentral:rRNA from 1 species
UACGUAGGGGGCUAGCGUUGUCCGGAUUUACUGGGCGUAAAGGGCGCGUAGGCGGCAAUUCAAGUCACUUGUGAAAUCUCUGAGCUUAACUCAGAACGGUCAAGUGAUACUGCUUUGCUAGAGUGCAGAAGGGGCAACCGGAAUUCUUGGUGUAGCGGUGAAAUGCGUAGAUAUCAAGAGGAACACCGGAGGUGAAGACGGGUUGCUGGGCUGACACUGACGCUGAGGCGCGAAAGCUAGGGUAGCAAACGGG